rnacentral:rRNA from 1 species
AGUCGAGGGGCAGCGAGAUUGAAGCUUGCUUCAAUUGUCGGCGACCGGCGGACGGGUGCGUAACGCGUAUGCAACCUACCCAUAACAGGGGGAUAACACUGAGAAAUUGGUACUAAUACCCCAUAACAUCUCGAGUGGCAUCACUUGGGGUUGAAAGCUUCGGUGGUUAUGGAUGGGCAUGCGUUGUAUUAGCUAGUUGGAGAGGUAACGGCUCACCAAGGCGACGAUACAUAGGGGGACUGAGAGGUUAACCCCCCACAUUGGUACUGAGACACGGACCAAACUCCUACGGGAGGCAGCAGUGAGGAAUAUUGGUCAAUGGACGGAAGUCUGAACCAGCCAUGCCGCGUGCAGGAUGACGGCUCUAUGAGUUGUAAACUGCUUUUGUACGAGGGUAAACCCGAAUACGUGUAUUCGGCUGAAAGUAUCGUACGAAUAAGGAUCGGCUAACUCCGUGCCAGCAGCCGCGGUAAUACGGAGGAUCCAAGCGUUAUCCGGAUUUAUUGGGUUUAAAGGGUGCGUAGGCGGUCAGAUAAGUUAGAGGUGAAAUUCCGGUGCUUAACACCGGCGCUGCCUCUAAUACUGUUUGACUAGAGAGUAGUUGCGGUAGGCGGAAUGUAUGGUGUAGCGGUGAAAUGCUUAGAGAUCAUACAGAACACCGAUUGCGAAGGCAGCUUACCAAGCUAUAUCUGACGUUGAGGCACGAAAGCGUGGGGAGCAAACAGGAUUAGAUACCCUGGUAGUCCACGCAGUAAACGAUGAUAACUCGUUGUCGGCGAUACAAUGUCGGUGACUAAGCGAAAGCGAUAAGUUAUCCACCUGGGGAGUACGUUCGCAAGAAUGAAACUCAA